rnacentral:rRNA from 1 species
UACGGAGGGGGCGAGCGUUGUUCGGAAUCACUGGGUGUAAAGGGUGCGUAGGCGGUGCGUUAAGUCUGAUGUGAAAGCCCUGGGCUCAACUCAGGAAUUGCAUUGGAAACUGGCGUGCUGGAGUACGGGAGAGGGAAGCAGAAUUCCUGGUGUAGCGGUGAAAUGCGUAGAUACCAGGAGGAACACCGGUGGCGAAGGCGGUUUCCUGGCCCAGUACUGACGCUGAGGCACGAAAGCGUGGGGAGCGAACGGG